AAGGGGAGUUUAAUGGCAGUAGUUCUCAGCGCCGGCGGCUUUGGUGACUCUAGAUAACCUCGGGCCGAUCGCACGCCCCCCGUGGCGGCGACGACCCAUUCGAACGUCUGCCCUAUCAACUUUCGAUGGUAGUCGCCGUGCCUACCAUGGUGACCACGGGUGACGGGGAAUCAGGGUUCGAUUCCGGAGAGGGAGCCUGAGAAACGGCUACCACAUCCAAGGAAGGCAGCAGGCGCGCAAAUUACCCACUCCCGACCCGGGGAGGUAGUGACGAAAAAUAACAAUACAGGACUCUUUCGAGGCCCUGUAAUUGGAAUGAGUCCACUUUAAAUCCUUUCGCGAGGAUCCAUUGGAGGGCAAGUCUGGUGCCAGCAGCCGCGGUAAUUCCAGCUCCAAUAGCGUAUAUUAAAGUUGCUGCAGUUAAAAAGCUCGUACUUGGAUCUUGGGAGCGGGCGGGCGGUCCGCCGCGAGGCGAGCCACCGCCCGUCCCCGCCCCUUGCCUCUCGGCGCCCCCUCGAUGCUCUUAGCUGAGUGUCCCGCGGGGCCCGAAGCGUUUACUUUGAAAAAAUUAGAGUGUUCAAAGCAGGCCCGAGCCGCCUGGAUACCGCAGCUAGGAAUAAUGCAAUAGGACCGCGGUUCUAUUUUGUUGGUUUUCGGAACUGAGGCCAUGAUUAAGAGGGACGGCCGGUGGCAUUCGUAUUGCGCCGCUAGAGGUGAAAUUCUUGGACCUGCGCAAGACGGACCUGAGCGAAAGCAUUUGCCAAGAAUGUUUUCAUUAAUCAAGAUCGAAAGUCGGAGGUUCGGAGACGAUCACAUACCGUCUUAGUUCCGACCAUAAACGAUGCCGACUGGCGAUGCGGCGGCGUUAUUCUCAUGACGCGCCGGGGAGCUUCCGGUAAACAAAGUCUUUGGGGUCCGGGUGGAGUAUGGGUUGCAAGGUGAAACUUAAGGGAUUGACGUAAAGGCACACCUGUAGGGGAGGCUGCGGCUUAUUUGACUCACACGGGGAAGACUUCCCUGGCCGGAAACAGGACAGGAUUGGAAGAAUGGAUAGCUCUUUCUUCGAUCCCGGGGGGGAGGGCACUGGACCGCCUUAACUGGCGGAGCCAGUUGAUCGGUUGCUUUCGAAUUACGAACAGAAAUCUAGGGUGGCUAACUAGUAUCGCUCAUCCUCUGACGGGCGGGCUCUCGUCAAUUUCUCUAAGGGUACAUGAUGUCG
rnacentral:rRNA from 1 species